rnacentral:lncRNA from 1 species
UUAGGAAUUAAUGUAUAGGUGCUUGCACGCAACCGAGAGUGUAGAACGCAGCGGAAGUAUUCGUUCGUAACUUUUUGCGGAAGCGAUUCGCGCUAUAACGCGACGAGCCCAGAUCGUAGAGAUUGAUUCACGUGUCCUUGGAUCGUACUUGAAGGUCUUAUAAUGCUCCGAACUCGCGGUGGAUUUAACUACAAACGAGCACGAUCGCAAAUCCACCGUUCAAGUCCAUCUAGAAUAAUAGGUUAAUGGAGAAUGUGGUUUUUCUCUUUUUAUUUUCUUAUUCUCUUUCUUUUUCCGUUCCGUACAUUAUGUUAUGUGGGAUCGUCCGCAUAUUUAUAAGGGAUUCCAAAACCCUAAUAGCGUAAGAGAUAAUGUCAAAUCGGUUAUUAAUUGUUAACCUAAUAUGAUUAGAUUUUAUCUCUAAAUAGCUUUCCAAUUUAAAAGCGAGAUUAAUUCUAAUCCAAUUAGAUAUCAUAAUAACCGUCGAAUCGAGCCCGAUUAUGGGCGCACCCGAUUCGAUUUAACUGAAUGCCAACAGA